UUGGUAAUGACAUUGGCAAGAGAGUGGCUUGAUGUCCUGAUUCAGCGCAGUUUGUCAUGUUUUGGUGUACUCAUUUGGCACCUUAAAAGAUCUUGUGAAACAACUCUACUUUCCUGGAUGCAUUUAAGCAAUGAUUUUGGAGGAAGCAACAAAGAAUCUUCUUAGUCACCAGGGUGAAGACAUUAACUUUGUGAAACUGUUUAGAUCUUUAUGAUUGAAAGUAAUGGAUUUCUGAUGAAGCAUUAGUGAAACAAGGACUUAUUGUGAAAUCUUGUUAUAAUAUGUAAUAUAUACUAACUGUGAUGUAUUGGUUAUGUAUUUUUUACAUGGUAGUAAAUUGUUAUAUUUCAUAUUCAUUUAAA